AAAGUGACCAAGCCAUGGAGUUGGACAUGUCAUAGGUGAAGGGAAGGGGUCGUGACUUCUCGCUUUGGACCUGCAACUUGCCCUAGUCGAUUAGGAUUUCUUGACAGACUGUCCAAAGUGAUUCACCGUGCAUAUUGAUGAAAGGUUGGGUUUCCCACUGUGAAAAUGUUCUCUUUCUAACGUAGGUUGCACGGGGUGUGUGUGUAGAUGGG